UGCCUCAGCUUUUUUUGGCUUGCACUGUUUGAAUCGGCGGAAGAGAGAGGUGGGCAGAGACGGGGACGAGUAGGUCGAAGAGGAUGGCCUCCGAUGUGGCCGCCGACGAGCCUCCCGCCAUCGGCAAGAUCCACGAGGUCUGCGCGGCCUACGAGCUGCCCGCCAUCGGCACCGUUCAGGAGCUCUACGCAGGGUCCCUGAUCUCUGCGCCGCCGACGCGCUGCACGAGCGAGCAACUCAAGGACCUGAGGAGGAAAUGAGUUGGGGUAAAACAUCGGCACAAAACUCGCUCCAUUGUUUUGCAUUCCAAAGAGACUGGGGUCAAACAAUGCUCCAGGAUAUUGGGAUUGUCCAGGCUGCGAAUAUAAAUACAUUACCAACCGCCAAAUUCUUUGUCCCAUCAAGAAAGAAGCAAGCAAAAGCAUGCUGAUUUUCGGAUGGGGUUCAGAAGAAGCAAAUCACACAGAAGGAUCUUGAGAGGAAGAUUCAGAAAACUCACCCUGGUGUAUGACAGGAACAAUAACUAGCAUGAACCUGGAGGAGUAAGAAGCAGCGACAUCUGGGUUUGCAAUGGCCAAAGAACUCAACAAUUCAUAGUUGGGUCACUUAUUUCUCCCCAGCUCGGUGACUUGGUCAACUGCGCACUUCAGAAGAAUAAGUACUUCUGAAUGUUAAAGCCAAUGUGGGCUAGCAAACUGUAGAGAUAAUUGAUUUGUUUCCAUGUCUACCUUACAGUAUUCAGACUUGGGAGAGAAGGUGCCUCAUGGUAGAAGCUUGACAUAGGUGUGGCCUUGAAUGCCAAGAUUUUUAUGAGUAGCCUCAGCCUUCUGUUCUCCCUACAGAUUCAGGAUUCAAAAGAUCAAUGGGAGUUUGUUUCACACAGUACAAGAGCAAUGUACUGAUGCAUUUUAACUGUCGUUGUGUGUUUUAACAGAAGAAUACUUUCUGAUGUUUUAGUGACCAAGUGUUACUGAUCUUGAGGUGUGUUAUUGAUCUCUGUUUCUAUAUAGAUGGUGCUUUUUUGUACUUUCUGAAGAACAAUUCCAUGCAAGACACCAUCAAAAAGCCUGCUACUGCAGAUGCUUCCUCGCCGAAUCACAGCUUGAUGGAGCUUGCUGCACCUCUGGAACAAGCAGCCGCUUACAAAGAGAAGCUUGAAGGCUCAAACAGAUGUACAUAACGAAAUUCAGAGUUCCAACAGUGCAUAUGUGCAAGAGCGUAGUUCACUUGGAAUUUGCUCGUGGUGGAGACGUUCCACCCACAAAAAAAAAGGUGAAGACGUCCUGAAACUUCAUGAGGCAUGGGCGAUACAGAUAGGGCGGAGUCGAAACCAUGUGCAAGAUAGAGACACUAUCAAUCAUCGGUGAAUCCGGUCCAGGAACUCAAAUGUUGGCGUCCAUGGCGCAAGGAGGUGCUUUUCGGAGCAAGCAACCUAGCAAGUGCAUCAGUGAUCAUUGUCAAUUUGGCUAGAAGGGUGAUCGAGAGGGCUACAAACAGGGUGACGUCGCCGAUGAAGAGAGUUGUAGAUCGGAAAAUCAAACCUGGAACCACACGAACGAAGACGUACACAAACUGGAUCCAAAUAGAUCCACCCAAGACCAGCACCGACCGAAUCCCAUGAGAUCCGACGGAGACACACCUCACACAUCCUCCAACAAUGCUAUUUGCACCAUCGGGGCGGGAAUAGGACGUGGGAGACAUUAUUGCCACCGAGGGACAUCGCCACGGCCACAUAGCCCCAACCAAGACGUUCAACCUAGCAAAAACGAGAACGGAGUCCCUCCCGCCGGCGGGGGGCUGAGAUCCUCCGCACCUCCACAGCCCAAAGGCCAUCGGAGGCGGGGUGGAUCGGAGGCCGCGCCGACGGGAGGAGGAAGGAGACUUUUCUUGGGGAGGAGGAUAGAGUUUGUUUUUAUUAGUUUUUAUUAUCUAAAACUCCCGAACCUUGUUUCCACUGAGUGAAUCCACUCAUAUGUAGGAUAUUGUUUGUUGCUUAGCCUCUCUGAUAGUAUUACCAUUGACGACUUUUCCGGUCGCGAACGUGGCGGAGAAAAUUAUGGCAGGAAGGCGGCGGCGUUCGAGGCGGCGGACAUGGGCCGUGGUGGAGGCGGAGAACGGCGUGACGGCGGUGGAGGCGGACGACGCGACGACGGGCCAAUCAAGCGGCGGACGAAUGGAAGGAGCCUCAGGCGGGUCGGAGUGAUGGAGGGUCGAGGCGUAGGAUGGCGUGGAAGGGGAGAGGACAGGAACCGAUCGAGAGAAAAGAAACGGUGGAAAUGAAAAUAGACCGGGGACGAUUAGGCGGGCAUGGAAGGGUAACUGUCUGUGCAGAUCAGUAGAGGGCGACCACGGCCGCCUGCCACUGGGAACUUUUUCAGAUUGAUUUAUUUGGCGCGGCUUGUCAAAAUGUAGUUGUGGCGGGCGCAACGCAACGCACCCCACUGAUUUAUGAUGAAGUAAUGGGCGGGCACUCUUACUGCCAGCCACUAUACUUUC